rnacentral:tRNA from 1 species
UUCCCUGUGGCUCAGUUGGUAGAGCAUGGUGUUUGCAACGCCAGCAUGGUGUGUGCAACGCCAGGGUUGUGGGUUCGAUUCCCACAAGGGGGC